UCUGCAGUGAGUGCUGGGGAGUUUGACCUUCUGGCCUGCUGAGGAACCUCAGGAGAGGGGUUCCCUGUGUGGGUUCCCAGCGGAGCGGAGGAGAAGGUGGACGGGUGUGGAGUUGUAGCUGAUCAUCCUUCCCAGACCUGGAGUCCAGGGGCCUGCAGUAGAGCUCCAGGGACACUGAACUCUGAGGCCUCGGGCUAGACACUUACCUAUGAGCCUCAGUUUCCUCCAUCUGUGAAGUGGGAAUUACAGCUGGGUGAGGAGGAAAGGGCAGGGCAGGGAUGGGUCUGAGGAACAAAUGAGCUAGGUGUGGAGGCCAUUUGAAGAGGGGGUGCCGGGGCACUUGGUGAUGUGGUCUCCCCUUCCCGUCAACAUAGUCACCCAGAAGUGCCUUCCAGCCCCCCUCCCCAAUUGGGUACACUUUGCUCCCACACAAGGCCUAGGGCCCACGUUGAUUUGAGGUCAGGACCUCUUCAAUGGCUUCUGGGAACUCCCCCAGCACCUUUCACACAGCACUGCUCUAUGCCACCCACCGUCUGCUGCUGACAUUCACCGUGAACCCUGGUCCCCCGGCUGCUGGGAUGAUGCAUCAGUCAUGGCACACGCACACACGCGUGACCGCCUGGCUAUGGGUACACUCAAACGAAGGGACACACCGCAGACCCAAAACCUGCUCCAGGAGGGUACCCCACAGCCUGGCACCCAUGCCAGGGUCAGGAUUCCCUUUCUGUCUCCAAGAUCCAACGUCGACGUCACUUCUCUGAAGUUUUCCCUGACUUCUGUCACUUCCCUCCUGCCUCUGACUUCUCCAAGCACCGUCUACCCACCUCUUCGGAACCUGUUAUUAUCUUGGACACCCUUGUAGGCAUGUGUCUUCAGACAGCUCUUUCUGGACAGGCAGGCAUGCCACCUUUGAAAAAUAUGAAUUUCUCGACAAAUACUGUAUGUUCUCAGUUCUAUGCAGAAUCUAAAAAUGUCAGUCUCAGGGCACCUGGGUGGCUCAGUCGGUGAAGCGUCUGCCUUCGGCUCAGGUCAUGAUCCCCAGGGUCCUGGGAUCGAGCCCUGCAUCAGGGCUCCCUGCUCAGCGGGGAGCCUGCUUCUCCUUCUCCCCGCUCAUGUUCUCUUUUGCUAUCUCCUCUCUCUCUCAAAUAAAUAAAUAAAAUCUUAAAAAAAAAAAAAUCCA
rnacentral:lncRNA from 1 species